AUUGUCCACACUUCGAGCCAAAGGGUAGUUAUGGGAGUUUUAGAGGGAAAGGGAAGAGAGGGUAAAAUUUUCAUUUCUGAAAAAUAUUCUCUAAUUUGAUAACUUUUCAAAAUAAAAGAAAUAUAAUGGUAAAUUACCACACUUAAUAUCCCAAUCUUUUGUUUAUUUUUAUAAACAUUAUAUAACUAUUUAAAAAAGAAAAAAAAUGACCUCCCUUCUCUUUCUUUCUAUAAAGGCAUCCUUAACAUACCAUAAGGGGAUCUUGUGUGAGGGGGAAUUGUUAAGAGAUAAAACCCAUUCACAUACAUGCCUGCACAUAAUAGCUGAAGUUUUAGGGUUGAUUUAGUUCUUGACAAUAAUAAUAGUUGCACACAACUUUGGUUUGCUCUUUUAAUUGUUCAUACAAAUCAUGAACCUAAGGGCAGUAUGCUCAUUAGAACAUUAGCAUAUUUAGCACAUAUAAAUAGUUUGUCAGCUGUAUUCAUCGGAGCACUUUAAAUUAGCAAGUAAUUAGCUCCCUGACUAAUUGUAUCCACACUAUAAACGACUGAUCUGUGUGCAUACCUAGAUUCAAUUUCGUUUAGCACUCCUUGAUUUUUGAAUCAGGUUACCUCCCUAUGUACUACUUUUUUCGCACAAUAAUUUGUAUUAUCUACAAUUUAUAAGAUUUGAAUUACUCAAUAAAAAAUAUGAAAAAAAAAAAAA